UACAGAGAGUGCGAACGUUGUUCGGAAUUACUGGGCUUAAAGCGCACGUAGGCGGCAUCGUAAGUGUCCGGUGAAAUCCCACGGCUCACCCGUGGAACUGCCUGGCAGACUGCGAUGCUCGAGUGUGGUAGGGGAGAGCGGAACUCCUGGUGGAGCGGUGAAAUGCGCAGAUAUCGGGAGGAACACCUAUGGCGAAGGCAGCCCCCUGGGUUAACACUGACGCUCAUGCACGAAAGCGUGGGGAGCAAACAGG
rnacentral:rRNA from 1 species